UCUUCCAUGAUGAUUUGCACAGACUUUCGUUCUUCUGAGUGUACUGAAGCCAGCCUUUCUGUCCUGAGAAGA
rnacentral:snoRNA from 1 species